CGAGCGAAUCGAUGGGAGCUUGCUCCCUGAGAUUAGCGGCGGACGGGUGAGUAACACGUGGGCAACCUGCCUAUAAGACUGGGAUAACUUCGGGAAACCGGAGCUAAUACCGGAUACGUUCUUUUCUCGCAUGAGAGAAGAUGGAAAGACGGUUUCGGCUGUCACUUAUAGAUGGGCCCGCGGCGCAAUAACUAGUUGGUGAGGUAAUGGCUCACCAAGGCGACGAUGCGUAACCCACCUGAGAGGGUGAUCGGCCACACUGGGACUGAAACACGGCCCAGACUCCUACGGGAGGCAGCAGUAGGGAAUCUUCCGCAAUGGACGAAAGUCUGACGGAACAACGCCCCGUGAACGAAGAAGGCCUUCGGGUCGUAAAGUUCUGUUGUUAGGGAAGAACAAGUACCAAAAUAACUGGUGGUACCUUGACGGUACCUAACCCGAAAGCCACGGGUAACUACGUGCCAACCGCCGCGGUAAUACGUAGGUGGCAAGCGUUGUCCGGAAUUAUUGGGCGUAAAGCGCGCGCAGGUGGUUCUUUAAGUCUGAUGUGAAAGCCCACGGCUCAACCGUGGAGGGUCAUUGGAAACUGGGGAACUUGAGUGCAGAAGAGGAAAGUGGAAUUCCAAGUGUAGCGGUGAAAUGCGUAGAGAUUUGGAGGAACACCAGUGGCGAAGGCGACUUUCUGGUCUGUAACUGACACUGAGGCGCGAAAGCGUGGGGAGCAAACAGGAUUAGAUACCCUGGUAGUCCACGCCGUAAACGAUGAGUGCUAAGUGUUAGAGGGUUUCCGCCCUUUAGUGCUGCAGCUAACGCAUUAAGCACUCCGCCUGGGGAGUACGACCGCAAGGUUGAAACUCAAAGGAAUUGACGGGGGCCCGCACAAGCGGUGGAGCAUGUGGUUUAAUUCGAAGCAACGCGAAGAACCUUACCAGGUCUUGACAUCCUCUGACACUCCUAGAGAUAGGACGUUCCCCUUCGGGGGACAGAGUGACAGGUGGUGCAUGGUUGUCGUCAGCUCGUGUCGUGAGAUGUUGGGUUAAGUCCCGCAACGAGCGCAACCCUUGAUCUUAGUUGCCAGCAUUCAGUUGGGCACUCUAAGGUGACUGCCGGUGACAAACCGGAGGAAGGUGGGGAUGACGUCAAAUCAUCAUGCCCCUUAUGACCUGGGCUACACACGUGCUACAAUGGAUGGUACAAAGGGCUGCAAACCUGCGAAGGUAAGCGAAUCCCAUAAAGCCAUUCUCAGUUCGGAUUGCAGGCUGCAACUCGCCUGCAUGAAGCCGGAAUCGCUAGUAAUCGGGGAUCCAGCGAUACCCACCCGUAUACUCG
rnacentral:rRNA from 1 species